rnacentral:misc_RNA from 1 species
UUGAAUUUUAAUGAAGAGUUUGGUUGUAGCUGGCCCAUUCAUUUGGGCAUGUGCACACCUUCCUCUUUCAUCCCACACACACCUGUGAACCUGUGAGACAGAGAUGGGGAAUUUACUUGCUGCUUUUUGGAAUACAAAGGCAAUAGGUUAUUGGACCCCCCCUCUGUCUACCCAAUUAAUAUAAACUCAAUUUAUUUUAAAACGAAUGUAAUGGAUGUGACACAUCUCAUAC